GAUGAACGCUGGCGGCGUGCCUAAUACAUGCAAGUCGAGCGAACAGAUGAGGAGCUUGCUCCUCUGACGUUAGCGGCGGACGGGUGAGUAACACGUGGAUAACCUACCUAUAAGACUGGGAUAACUUCGGGAACCCGGAGCUAAUACCGGAUAAUAUAUUGAACCGCAUGGUUCAAUAGUGAAAGACGGUUUUGCUGUCACUUAUAGAUGGAUCCGCGCCGCAUUAGCUAGUUGGUAAGGUAACGGCUUACCAAGGCAACGAUGCGUAGCCGACCUGAGAGGGAGCAGUGACACUCGAAAUGUGAGACGGGGCCCAGACUCCUAGGAGGGACAGCAGUGGAAAAUUUGCCGCAAGGGGCGAGAGCCAGACAGCGCAACGCCGCGUGUGUAGAGAGUGUCUUGGUUGCGAAAAACUCUGAUAUGGGGGAAAAACAAAUGUGUAAAUAACUAGGCGCGUCGAGGCGAUCCCAAAACAGAAAGCCGCGGCAAUCUGUG
rnacentral:rRNA from 1 species